GUAGGUGAACCUGCGGAAGGAUCACUAGUGAUUAAAUCGAGAGCGUCUUCAUUGACCUCUCACCCUUCACAUCCACAUACACCUGUGCACCGUUUGGCUCUUUUAAAAGACGUAAGUCUGCAAAGAGAGUCAUCAAUUUUAUACAUACCCCAGUCUUAUGAAUGUAACAGUUUUAAUAAACAAAAUAAAACUUUUAACAACGGAUCUCUUGGUUCUC
rnacentral:misc_RNA from 1 species